rnacentral:rRNA from 1 species
AACGCUGGCGGCGUGCCUAAUACAUGCAAGUCGAACGGCUUUUCUAUGGAAGCUUGCUUCCACUGAGAAGAUAGUGGCGAACGGGUGAGUAACACGUGGGUAACCUGCCCAUAAGAGGGGGAUAACAUCCGGAAACGGGUGCUAAUACCGCAUAGUUUUCUUGAUUGCAUGAUUGAGAAAGGAAAGACGGCCUUUGUGCUGUCGCUUAUGGAUGGACCCGCGGCGUAUUAGUUAGUUGGUGAGGUAACGGCUCACCAAGACGAUGAUACGUAGCCGACCUGAGAGGGUGAUCGGCCACCAUUGGGACUGAGACACGGCCCAAACUCCUACGGGAGGCAGCAGUAGGGAAUCUUCCGCAAUGGACGAAAGUCUGACGGAGCAACGCCGCGUGAGUGAAGAAAAGGUUUUCGGAUCGUAAAACUCUGUUGUCAGAGAAGAACAAGUUGGAGAGUAACUGCUCCAGCCUUGACGGUAUCUGACCAGAAAGCCACGGCUAACUACGUGCCAGCAGCGGC